rnacentral:lncRNA from 1 species
UUUUAAAUAAUUUGAGGACGAGGUAUGUGUCAAUUUUUUAAAAAUCAUGCUUUAGAGCAUGUCUAAAGCUUGUUAAAAAUUUAGGCGUCUGGGCCAAAUACUGACUAAUUCAGCUGUUUAAGAGAGGAUACUCGCACAUGAAAAUUUGGGAACAGGUGAAUCAAAGGGAUAAAACACGAGCAUGCACCUCUUCGUACGGGGCCCCCAAAGGCGUUUAAUCGCCUCGGCCUGAAUGCGCACAGAAAACUCUGUUGUCUGUUCGAAAUGGGGCUGUUUGCGACGUGCAGUGUGCCUCAGACAAAAGCAUGAUCUCCUCCAACGGUUCUGAUGGUUUUAAAACCCUUCCUCAAGUAUAAAUGAGAGGAUUGAGUCGUCCCCGCCUCCUCUAAACCCUGCAGAGCAGGAGGCGAGGGCCUGCCAGGACUGCAGUUGCUCUAAGACCCGGCGGGGGCCUGCGCUGACUCGAGUCAGGCAUUGCAACCACCCCGCGGCCCCUUUAGCUUCUGCUCCCAAUCCCCGUGCAAACAGCAGCGGCUGCUGUAAUGUCAACUUUCUCGGUACCGAAUGCGUCCUCAUGGCCAUCUGUUUUUACUGCCAUUUCUCAUGGCGUCUCUGACUUCAACUAAUAAGGCAACAUCUUUUCCGAACCGAUCACCAGCAGAGUGGGUGAACUGUUUUAAGCUACAUUCGCAUCUCUGAAGAUGCCGCGGGAAACACCAGUUGUGGACAGAUGUUUUCACUCAGGGAAAUGUGUCCUUCAAACAAAUCCCAUAAUCGGCCCCCCCAACGUCUACUGCUUAACGAGUAAUCGAGUAAAAUGCAAUAACUUAAUUACAUUAUUUUUCAAACUCAUUGUUGUACCACAUUGUUCUCAGUCAGCUUGGUUUGACAGCCCUUUUAGCACGAACAAUAUUAACAGUAAUAGCGCUAGCUCCAAAAGGCAGGACAUGUCUGUCAUCUAAAAUAAACCAUCAGAUGUAUUUUAUAAUAGUCUUCACCCAAACAGCAGCACGUUAACAUAACUGAGCUAGUUCCGUACAGGACAGCCAAGGCCUUUCCAAACCCGAGAGACCAACCAUUUUCAGAAGUUCUAAAAGAAAUGCUAUCCACUUCUCUUUCCCAGAAGUGACAGUAGCCGGAAACAAACUAAUUUGGACUCACAUGUCCUGUAAUUUAUUCUGCUGGGGAUUCCUCUGUAUCAAAAGAGACAAGCAGGGAAUGAAAUGCAUAGCUGAGGGCCCACGUGCCCCCAACAGGAUGAUGUAACUGAUUAAAAGAGACCCACGGAGCCAUGGCAAAGACUGCACUGCUCCUGGAAGGUAAGGAAAGGACUCAGGUUACAACACAGAGCUCACCGCAUGCCCCAUCACGGCAGCGCAUCUGGGCAGAGGGCAGGCUUCCUGGUCUCAACCCCGCCAAACACGCAUCACCAAGACCACGUUAUGUCUCUGUACAGUGAAGCCUACGAAGGCCUUCUAGAAGCUCCCUUUAUACUUCUUCCUGUGGAUUUCUUUUUCUACCUCCACCACCUGUUCUUGUGCCCAUGAGGCACAAGUUCACGGGGUAACGUGCCUAGUCAUUUUCUGAGUGUUUACUGCAGGACCUGGAGCAUUUACUGAUUCACAGUCAGUGUCCUAGGAACGACUGUCCAGGUGACAGGUUCAGGCUUCAGGUCUGAUGGAGCUAGUCUUCCACUGAGUAACUGUCGUAUCAAUAGAGCCCUACCUGCGCCCCUGUUGUCUCCACAGCAUAGGUUGUUACAGUCACGGGCAGAGAUGAGGGGGAGACCAAGUCAUCCUAUCCGUGGAAACUUCUAUCCUCUAAUUGUACAACGCAGUCAAAGAGGAAAGGACAUGGAUGGAUUAUGUUGUCACAAGACUGGAAACAAACACUGAAUCAGACAAUUAAAAGAAAAAGUUGGUUUAAAUGAAAGUAGCUGUUUCAAUAGAUCAUCAGCCCUCUUCACUGUGUACCAGAAAGAACUGUUUCCUUUAUCAUUACUGAAUAACGUGAAUAUCAUCCCCACCCUGAAAAAAUUCAACUCAACUAAAAAAUUUUAAAUGAUCUCUUACAGUGUCUCAAUCAGUGCCGGGCGCCUGUUUCGGCCCGAACUGUCUCCUCCCAUAAUUCAUAUGCUCAAGUCCCAAGCCCAGGACCCCAGAGCAGGACUGUAAAGAUACAGGGCCUCUGAAGAGGUCAUCAGCAUCACAUGUCGUAUGCACAGACCUACUCUGACCUGGCUGAUGUCCGCAUCAUAGAGGGAAUUUAGACACAGAGUCACCAAGGGGCCUGUGCAACAAGCAGCAAGAAAGCAGCCGCCUGGAAGCCAAGGACAGAAGCUUCAGAAGAAACCAACCCUGAGACAUUCUGACCUCGGACUUGCAUCCUCUCUAACUGGGAGAAAGUGAAUUUCUGUCGUUUUAGCCCGGGGCAUUUUAUCAUGCCUGCCUGAGCCAAGCAAUACAAGCCCCAUUCACUCAGCAGACAGUACCUGAGCAGGAUCAAGGGCUGGGAGGGGGCUAGCUGCUGGGCUGGGUACUCCUCCCAUUCCAGGCAUUACAGAACUGAGAAGCACAAUUACAGAACAAACAAAACACAGUCUAAAACUCACAAAUGUUUUCGACUUCCCAAGAACUGCCAUCUUCCUUAACGCAGGACACGUGCACCUCGUUUGCUUUCCAUCCUGAUGAAAACUGUCCAACUCGGUUUAGUCCAGUCUUUCCAACCACGACCUCCUUCGCUGCCUCUUUUCAAAGAUCCUGCUGUUUCCACCCUUAUACUGUCCCCACUCCUCGACUCGCUGUUCUCCCUGCUGAUUCGUAAAGAAGUGAUUCACAACCUUUUUUUUAAUGACACAAAAAAUUUUCACAAAAUUGAUUCAGAUCUAUACAAGGCUUGGAGGAAAAAGUCCUACUUUUUCUUGCAUUUUAUGAUUAUAAUAUAUAAAAAAUACAGAAUAUUAGGGAAGACUUAAAACACUGACUAUAAAUGAACUUUCAAAAAAGUUUAGCAUUUAGUAAGAAACAUGAAAUUUCUUCCAUGGACAUAAUACUAUAGAAUAUUUGAUCCCUGGUCUUGCUCAGUGGGUUAAGGAUCCAGCGUUGCCGUGAGCUGUGGUGUAGGUCGCAGACGCAGCUUGGCUCCCAUGUUGCUGUGGCUGCGGUGUAGGCCAGCGGCUAAAGCUCUGAUUAGACCCCUAGCCUGGGAACCUCCAUACGCCAAGGGUGCGGCCCCAGGAAGACAAAAAAAAAGUGAUAGCUAACAUAUGGUU